CAGUAGCCGCGGUAAUACGUAGGGUGCAAGCGUUAAUCGGAAUUACUGGGCGUAAAGCGUGCGCAGGCGGUUAUAUAAGUCAGAUGUGAAAUCCCCGGGCUCAACCUGGGAACUGCAUUUGAGACUGUAUGGCUAGAGUGUGUCAGAGGGGGGUAGAAUUCCACAUGUAGCAGUGAAAUGCGUAGAUAUGUGGAGGAAUACCGAUGGCGAAGGCAGCCCCCUGGGAUAACACUGACGCUCAUGCACGAAAGCGUGGGGAGCAAACAGGAUUAGAUACCCCAGUAGUCCCUGUCUCUUAUAU
rnacentral:rRNA from 1 species